UCCACCUUAUCGGUAGCGGUCCCCUGCGAGUUCCGCCUUUCGGCAUGGCAACACAGGGCAAGGGUUGCGCUCGUUGCGGGACUUAACCCAACAUCUCACGACACGAGCUGACGACAGCCAUGCAGCACCUCGACUGCAGUCCCUUGCGGGAAGGCCAGUGUUUCCACCGACUGUCCACAGCCGUUCGAGCCCAGGUAAGGUGGGGAUGACGUGCGUCAGUCAA
rnacentral:misc_RNA from 1 species